GAUGAAGAACGCAGCGAAAUGCGAUAAGUAGUGUGAAUUGCAGAAUUCAGUGAAUCAUCGAAUCUUUGAACGCACAUUGCGCCCCUUGGUAUUCCAUGGGGCAUGCCUGUUCGAGCGUCAUUUGUACCUUCAAGCUUUGCUUGGUGUUGGGUGUUUGUCUCGCCUUUGCGUGUAGACUCGCCUUAAAAUGAUUGGCAGCCGGCGUAUUGAUUUCGGAGCGCAGUACAUCUCGCGCUUUGCACUCAUAACGACAGCGUCCAAAAGUACAUUUUACACUCUUGACCUCGGAUCAGGUAGGGAUACCCGCUGAACUUAAGCAUAUCAAUAAGCGGAGGA
rnacentral:misc_RNA from 1 species